rnacentral:lncRNA from 1 species
GAAAAUCGCUUGAACCCAGCUGGCAGAGGUUGUGAUGAGCUGAGAUCACGCCAUUGCACUCCAGUCCAGCCUGGGUGACAGAGUUAGACUCUGUCUCAAAAAAAAAAAAAAAAAAAAAAAAGAAUGUCUCCAAGAAAUGGAGUCUACAAAUUAUUUCAAGUGUGUGACCAUAUAGAGAGGAGCUGUAGAGUUGUGGCAGAUACUUUAAAGAUAAGUUAGUUAUAGAUAUAAAGAAAACUAAACAAAUAAAUAUUGAAGUAAUUAUUAACCUUAGGAAAAAUAUAUAGCUGUACAGAAAAAAUGUAAUUAUGGUUCACUGCUUGAUUCAGCUUGAAUAUUUUAUGUAAUCUUAAUAAUUAGAGAACUAAAUGUUGAUUUAACAAGUACAUGAUGGUAUGUCCAUAUUGGCAAGAUGAAGCAUUAACAAUAUGUGUGUUGCUGAAUCAGUGCUAAAUAUUAAUAUUCUAAAGUUGGAAGGCAGAAUACAAUGUCUAAAAUUUUUAAAAAUAAGCAACAAUGAGGUGGGAAAAAAAGAAAAAUUAAAGAAAGGAAGAAAAUAGAAAUUAAAAAGAGAAAGAAACAAGCUGCCUGUGUUAGGCUGACUCGUUUCAAAGGCAGUAACAGGCAAAUUUUCGAUAAUGUUAUCUAAGGGCCAGAGCUCAAAGGAAUGUGCUCUGAAGACUCUCCCAGCACUCUCUCAACAUAAGGAUGUGAAGAGAUAAGUUUCCCUGUCUCUCCUUUAGUGGGUCCUUGAGGAGGGCUGUCAGAAGCACUGGGAAAAGGCCACAGGGAUAAGAAAACCUCCAGUUGAACUUUGUAACAAUUUGAACCAAUUGAGAAGCCUCCUGGCCAGAACUCAAGAGAGGGCAUGAAUCCAUUGUGCAGACUCCACAGGCAAGGGAAGAAGGCAAGCCCUACUUACUUUCACAGCUGGGAGGCUCAUAGGCGGAAGAGAGUUGCCUUGUCUCAGAUGAACUUUUGGACUGUGGACAUUUGAGUUAAUGUUGAAAUGAGCUAAGAUGUUGGGAGACUGUUGAGAAGGCAUGGUUCAUUUUGAAAUGUGAAAAAGAUGAGAUUUGGGAGGGGCCAGGGGCAGAAUGAUAUGUUUUGCCUCUGUGUUUCCACCAAAAUCUCAUCUUGAAUUGUAAUCCCCAUAAUUCCCACCUGUUGAGGAAGGACCUUGUGGGAUGUGAUUUGAUCAUGGAGGCAGUUUUCCCCGUGCUAUUCUCGUGAUAGUGAGUGAGUCCUAAUAAGAUCUGAUGGUUUUAUAAGUGUUUGACAGUUUCUCCUACACAUGCAUUCCCUCUCUCACCUGCCACCAUGUAAGACAUGUCUGCUACACCUUCCACCAUGAUUGUAGUUUCCUGAGGCCUCCCUAGCCAUGCAGAACUGUGG